CGAGGGGCAGCACGGGUAGCAAUACUGGUGGCGACCGGCGCACGGGUGCGUAACGCGUAUGCAACCUACCUAUAACUGGGGCAUAGCCCCGAGAAAUCGGGAUUAAUUCCCCAUAACAUUCCGGUGAGGCAUCUCACUGGGAUUAAAGCUCCGACGGUUAUAGAUGGGCAUGCGUGACAUUAGCUAGUUGGUGAGGUAACGGCCCACCAAGGCUACAAUGUCUAGGGGUUCUGAGAGGAUGAUCCCCCACACUGGUACUGAGACACGGACCAGACUCCUACGGGAGGCAGCAGUAGGGAAUAUUGGGCAAUGGACGCAAGUCUGACCCAGCCAUGCCGCGUGCAGGAAUGACGGCCCUAUGGGUUGUAAACUGCUUUUCUGCGGGAAGAACCCCCCGAUCGUGAUCGGGGCUGACGGUACCGCAGGAAUAAGCAUCGGCUAACUCCGUGCCAGCAGCCGCGGUAAUACGGAGGAUGCAAGCGUUAUCCGGAUUUAUUGGGUUUAAAGGGUGCGCAGGCGGAACAUUAAGUCAGUGGUGAAAGCCUACAGCUC
rnacentral:rRNA from 1 species